rnacentral:other from 1 species
GCGGGGCUGCACGGUUCGUCAGGAGCAAUAUUCUCGGGGCCUUAUCGAUCUCUAAGGGAGCUGUCCCUGGCCGGGCCCGUGGGCCCGGACACACGGUGCCCACCUACUUGUGUAGGGAACCCGGGAUCGACGCUCCAACGGCCAUUGCGGCUCCGCA